rnacentral:rRNA from 1 species
GACGAACGCUGGCGGCGUGCUUAACACAUGCAAGUCGAACGUGAUUUUUGUGGGAAUUCUUUCGGGCAUGGAAAUGAAAUGAAACGGGUGAACGGGAGAGCAACACGUGCGCAACCUACCUUACACAGGGGGAUAGCCGUACGAAACGACGAUUUAUACCGCAUGAGACCACAGAAUCGCAUGUCAUAGCUGUCAAAGAUUUAUCGGCCUAAGAAGGGCUGGCGUCUGAUUAGCGUGCUGGAAGGGUAAAGGGCUACCAAGGCGACGUUCAGUAGCCUGUCAGAGAGGCAGGACGGCCACAUUGGAGCUGAGACGCAGUCCGAACUCCUACAGGAGGCAGCAGUGGGGAAUAUUGCACUAUGGCGGGAGCCCUGAUGCAGCUACGCCGCGUGAGCGAAGUAGUUUUUAGAAACGUACAGCUCUGUCCUAUGAGGAGAUAAUGACGGUAUCAUAGGAGGAAGCCCCGGCUAAAUACGUG